rnacentral:rRNA from 1 species
UUAAGCGACUAAGCGUACACGGUGGAUGCCCUGGCAGUCAGAGGCGAUGAAGGGCGUACUAAUCUGCGAUAAGCGCCGGUAAGGUGAUAUGAACCGUUAUAACCGGCGAUACCCGAAUGGGGAAACCCAGUGUGAUUCGUCACACUAUCAUUAACUGAAUCCAUAGGUUAAUGAGGCGAACCGGGGGAACUGAAACAUCUAAGUACCCCGAGGAAAAGAAAUCAACCGAGAUUCCCCCAGUAGCGGCGAGCGAACGGGGAGGAGCCCAGAGCCUGAAUCAGCAUGUGUGUUAGUGGAAGCGUCUGGAAAGGCGCGCGAUACAGGGUGACAGCCCCGUACACAAAAGCGCAUGUGCUGUGAGCUCGAUGAGUAGGGCGGGACACGUGGUAUCCUGUCUGAAUAUGGGGGGACCAUCCUCCAAGGCUAAAUACUCCUGACUGACCGAUAGUGAACCAGUACCGUGAGGGAAAGGCGAAAAGAACCCCGGCGAGGGGAGUGAAAAAGAACCUGAAACCGUGUACGUACAAGCAGUGGGAGCACAGGUUUACCUGUGUGACUGCGUACCUUUUGUAUAAUGGGUCAGCGACUUAUAUUCUGUAGCAAGGUUAACCGAAUAGGGGAGCCGGAGGGAAACCGAGUCUUAAUUGGGCGUUAAGUUGCAGGGUAUAGACCCGAAACCCGGUGAUCUAGCCAUGGGCAGGUUGAAGGUUGGGUAACACUAACUGGAGGACCGAACCGACUAAUGUUGAAAAAUUAGCGGAUGACCUGUGGCUGGGGGUGAAAGGCCAAUCAAACCGGGAGAUAGCUGGUUCUCCCCGAAAGCUAUUUAGGUAGCGCCUCGUGAAUUCAUCUCCGGGGGUAGAGCACUGUUUCGGCUAGGGGGCCAUCCCGGCUUACCAACCCGAUGCAAACUGCGAAUACCGGAGAAUGUUAUCACGGGAGACACACGGCGGGUGCUAACGUCCGUCGUGAAGAGGGAAACAACCCAGACCGCCAGCUAAGGUCCCAAAGUCAUGGUUAAGUGGGAAACGAUGUGGGAAGGCCCAGACAGCCAGGAUGUUGGCUUAGAAGCAGCCAUCAUUUAAAGAAAGCGUAAUAGCUCACUGGUCGAGUCGGCCUGCGCGGAAGAUGUAACGGGGCUAAACCAUGCACCGAAGCUGCGGCAGCGACACUGUGUGUUGUUGGGUAGGGGAGCGUUCUGUAAGCCUGUGAAGGUGUGUCGUGAGGCAUGCUGGAGGUAUCAGAAGUGCGAAUGCUGACAUAAGUAACGAUAAAGCGGGUGAAAAGCCCGCUCGCCGGAAGACCAAGGGUUCCUGUCCAACGUUAAUCGGGGCAGGGUGAGUCGACCCCUAAGGCGAGGCCGAAAGGCGUAGUCGAUGGGAAACGGGUUAAUAUUCCCGUACUUGGUGUUACUGCGAAGGGGGGACGGAGAAGGCUAUGUUGGCCGGGCGACGGUUGUCCCGGUUUAAGCGUGUAGGUGUGUGUUCCAGGUAAAUCCGGUUCACUUUAACACUGAGGCGUGACGACGAGGCACUACGGUGCUGAAGCAACAAAUGCCCUGCUUCCAGGAAAAGCCUCUAAGCAUCAGGUAACAUCAAAUCGUACCCCAAACCGACACAGGUGGUCAGGUAGAGAAUACCAAGGCGCUUGAGAGAACUCGGGUGAAGGAACUAGGCAAAAUGGUGCCGUAACUUCGGGAGAAGGCACGCUGACACGUAGGUGAAGUGAUUUACUCAUGGAGCUGAAGUCAGUCGAAGAUACCAGCUGGCUGCAACUGUUUAUUAAAAACACAGCACUGUGCAAACACGAAAGUGGACGUAUACGGUGUGACGCCUGCCCGGUGCCGGAAGGUUAAUUGAUGGGGUCAGCGCAAGCGAAGCUCCUGAUCGAAGCCCCGGUAAACGGCGGCCGUAACUAUAACGGUCCUAAGGUAGCGAAAUUCCUUGUCGGGUAAGUUCCGACCUGCACGAAUGGCGUAAUGAUGGCCAGGCUGUCUCCACCCGAGACUCAGUGAAAUUGAACUCGCUGUGAAGAUGCAGUGUACCCGCGGCAAGACGGAAAGACCCCGUGAACCUUUACUAUAGCUUGACACUGAACAUUGAGCCUUGAUGUGUAGGAUAGGUGGGAGGCUUUGAAGUGUGGACGCCAGUCUGCAUGGAGCCGACCUUGAAAUACCACCCUUUAAUGUUUGAUGUUCUAACGUGGACCCGUUACCCGGGUUGCGGACAGUGUCUGGUGGGUAGUUUGACUGGGGCGGUCUCCUCCUAAAGAGUAACGGAGGAGCACGAAGGUUGGCUAAUCCUGGUCGGACAUCAGGAGGUUAGUGCAAUGGCAUAAGCCAGCUUGACUGCGAGCGUGACGGCGCGAGCAGGUGCGAAAGCAGGUCAUAGUGAUCCGGUGGUUCUGAAUGGAAGGGCCAUCGCUCAACGGAUAAAAGGUACUCCGGGGAUAACAGGCUGAUACCGCCCAAGAGUUCAUAUCGACGGCGGUGUUUGGCACCUCGAUGUCGGCUCAUCACAUCCUGGGGCUGAAGUAGGUCCCAAGGGUAUGGCUGUUCGCCAUUUAAAGUGGUACGCGAGCUGGGUUUAGAACGUCGUGAGACAGUUCGGUCCCUAUCUGCCGUGGGCGCUGGAGAACUGAGGGGGGCUGCUCCUAGUACGAGAGGACCGGAGUGGACGCAUCACUGGUGUUCGGGUUGUCAUGCCAAUGGCACUGCCCGGUAGCUAAAUGCGGAAGAGAUAAGUGCUGAAAGCAUCUAAGCACGAAACUUGCCCCGAGAUGAGUUCUCCCUGAGACUUAAAGUCUCCUGAAGGAACGUUGAAGACGACGACGUUGAUAGGCCGGGUGUGUAAGCGCAGCGAUGCGUUGAGCUAACCGGUACUAAUGAACCGUGAGGCUUAACCUU